rnacentral:rRNA from 1 species
UACAGAGGUCUCAAGCGUUGUUCGGAUUCAUUGGGCGUAAAGGGUGCGUAGGCGGCGCGGUAAGUCGGGUGUGAAAUCUUGGAGCUUAACUCCGAAACUGCAUUCGAUACUGCCGUGCUUGAGGACUGGAGAGGAGACUGGAAUUUACGGUGUAGCGGUGAAAUGCGUAGAUAUCGUAAGGAAGACCAGUGGCGAAGGCGGGUCUCUGGGCUGAUACUGACGCUGAGGCGCGAAAGCUAGGGUAGCAAACGGG